rnacentral:rRNA from 1 species
AGUGAACGCUGGCGGUAGGCCUAACACAUGCAAGUCGAACGGCAGCACAGUAAGAGCUUGCUCUUACGGGUGGCGAGUGGCGGACGGGUGAGGAAUACAUCGGAAUCUACUUUUUCGUGGGGGAUAACGUAGGGAAACUUACGCUAAUACCGCAUACGACCUACGGGUGAAAGCAGGGGAUCUUCGGACCUUGCGCGAUUGUAUGAGCCGAUGUCGGAUUAGCUAGUUGGCGGGGUAAAGGCCCACCAAGGCGACGAUCCGUAGCUGGUCUGAGAGGAUGAUCAGCCACACUGGAACUGAGACACGGUCCAGACUCCUACGGGAGGCAGCAGUGGGGAAUAUUGGACAAUGGGCGCAAGCCUGAUCCAGCCAUGCCGCGUGGGUGAAGAAGGCCUUCGGGUUGUAAAGCCCUUUUGUUGGGGAAGAAAAGCAGCAGGUUAAUACCCCGCUGUUCUGACGGUACCCAAAGAAUAAGCACCGGCUAACUUCGUG